rnacentral:rRNA from 1 species
UACAGAGGCCCCGAGCGUUAUCCGGAAUUAUUGGGCGUAAAGGGUGCGUAGGUGGUUCUAUUAGUCGAUCGUGAAAGAUCCGGGCUCAACCCGGGGAACGCGCUCGAAACGGUAGGACUCGAGUAGUUGAGAGGUGAACGGAACUCAUGGAGUAGGGGUGAAAUCCGUUGAUAUCAUGGGGAACACCAAAUGCGAAGGCAGUUCACUGGCAACUUACUGACACUCAAGCACGAAAGCGUAGGUAGCGAAU